rnacentral:rRNA from 1 species
AUUGAACGCUGGCGGCAUGCCUUACACAUGCAAGUCGAACGGUAACGGGUCCUUCGGGAUGCCGACGAGUGGCGAACGGGUGAGUAAUAUAUCGGAACGUGCCCAGUAGUGGGGGAUGACUACUCGAAAGAGCAGCUAAUACCGCAUACGACCUGAGGGUGAAAGGGGGGGAUCGCAAGACCUCUCGCCAUUGGAGCGGCAGAUAUCAGAUUAGCUAGUUGGUGGGGUAAAGGCCUACCAAGGCAACGAUCUGUAGUUGGUCUGGGAGGACGACCAGCCACACUGGGACUGAGACACGGCCCAGACUCCUACGGGAGGCAGCAGUGGGGAAUUUUGGACAAUGGGCGCAAGCCUGAUCCAGCAAUGCCGCGUGCAGGAAGAAGGCCUUCGGGUUGUAAACUGCUUUUGUCAGGGAAGAAAUCUUCUGGGCUAAUACCCCGGGAGGAUGACGGUACCUGAAGAAUAAGCACCGGCUAACUACGUGCCAGCAGCCGCCGUAA